rnacentral:lncRNA from 1 species
UGCCACUUAUGUCUUCAAAACUCUUGGUGGCAGCAUCCUCUAAGUUACAGGAUUGAAAUGCAACCUGAGCAAUUUAGAGAUUUAGAUCUGUGUGGCUUCUUGCUAUAUCAUGCUCAGAAAUAACACCAUAAAAUCCCUUAAUUGCUCUAGAAAGGAAGAACACAGCUGGAUGUAAUAAAGUGGCCAACAGGUCCAAUAAAGUCAUCAUUAUCUCCUGACUGCCUUGGAGAACUUGUAUUGACAGUGAUGGAAUUAAAAUCAUUCAGAGGAGCAUGCACAUAAUGAACCUCGUCACUGUGAAAAGACAGGGUGCAGGCCAGCUAAAUUUUCUUCUUUUGUCAGCUACAGAGCUGAGUAGGUGUUUUCCUUUGUACGUUCUCAUUUAUUGCCAACUCAUGACUGCUUUGGAAUUCUUCUCAAAUGUAAGAGCUAGGAAUCUGUAAUCUGCCCAAAUUGUGGACAAUUCCCACUUUUGAGAACAAAGUUGGAGAUAAUUUUUAAUCUGAGAGAAGUUCCACUCUUUAUGGUUAACCUGCCAGAAGAACUCUUGAAUGUCAGGAAGAAGGAGAGUGAAUAUUACCCUUAGACACAGUGUGUGGAUGUUUCAGCCCUGCUAAGUGAUGGGAGAACCUCAUGGGAUGGAACAGUUCACAUGGUGCUACUCCAAGCUGCUGCUGUUUCCUCCAGUAUUGGUUCAUCCUCACCGUUUCUGUGUUUGCUAGAGGCACGUAGUAGCAAAGGUAGAGAAUGGCGAGAACACAGGGGAGCUUUCAAAAGUUUAGGUCAUGUUACUGCAAGGAUUGCAGCAUCCAGCGGCAGACACAUGACUGGGACAGACGUCUCUUGGAUUCUCAUUCCCUUUCUUCUCACACAAAAAAUAUGUGUUUGCCUUACAACUACCAGAUGA